rnacentral:rRNA from 1 species
UACGUAGGUGGCAAGCGUUGUCCGGAUUUACUGGGCGUAAAGAGCGCGCAGGCGGUCGAUCAAGUCGCGUGUGAAAGCCCCCGGCUCAACUGGGGAGGGUCACGCGAUACUGAUCGACUCGAAGGCAGGAGAGGGUAGUGGAAUUCCCGGUGUAGUGGUGAAAUGCGUAGAUAUUGGGAGGAACACCAGUGGCGAAGGCGGCUCACUGGACCGGUACUGACGCUGAUGCGCGAAAGCGUGGGGAGCAAACGGG